GUCAUAAUGGGUGAAAUAAUAUCUGCCAAAUAACUAUAGCAUAUUGCAGUAGUUUGAGUUACAGUUUUAGUUGUUAUUCCAAAAUAGAUUGGCUGGAUAUACAUGUAGGCCUAUUGCCACCAAGACAGUUUUAAUCCCAUUUCAGCAUACAAGCUACUUACUGGUCCAACCUUUGGCCGAAAUUUCAUGACUGGGUACCUGUCAUCAGUUGGAGUGCAUGCAGGAGAGACCAGAAUUGGAAAUAAGAGAAGUCCAUCAGCCAUACCAUCAACUGCGAAACGGUGCUCGGAAUCUGAACCCCAUCCCUUAUCAUGCAGAAGGUGGGCCAUAAACUUCACAUGGACCAGAACGAGAAGCUCGGCAUGUUUGGUACUACACACGUAGUUGCUGUUGAUGGCUUCAGCAGCAAAAUAGUGGCACAUUCCACCAUGCCAACUAAGAACAAUCUAAUUAUAUAUGAAGAG